rnacentral:rRNA from 1 species
UAGGAGCUUGCUCCCGGNUNGUCAGCGGCAGGGUGAGUAACACGUGGGUAACCUGCCUGUAAGACUGGGAUAACUCCGGGAAACCGGGGCUAAUACCGGAUGGUUGUUUGAACCGCAUGGUUCAAACAUAAAAGGUGGCUUCGGCUACCACUUACAGAUGGACCCGCGGCGCAUUAGCUAGUUGGUGAGGUAACGGCUCACCAAGGCAACGAUGCGUAGCCGACCUGAGAGGGUGAUCGGCCACACUGGGACUGAGACACGGCCCAGACUCCUACGGGAGGCAGCAGUAGGGAAUCUUCCGCAAUGGACGAAAGUCUGACGGAGCAACGCCGCGUGAGUGAUGAAGGUUUUCGGAUCGUAAAGCUCUGUUGUUAGGGAAGAACAAGUACCGUUCGAAUAGGGCGGUACCUUGACGGUACCUAACCAGAAAGCCACGGCUAACUACGUGCCAGCAGCCGCGGUAAUACGUAGGUGGCAAGCGUUGUCCGGAAUUAUUGGGCGUAAAGGGCUCGCAGGCGGUUUCUUAAGUCUGAUGUGAAAGCCCCCGGCUCAACCGGGGAGGGUCAUUGGAAACUGGGGAACUUGAGUGCAGAAGAGGAGAGUGGAAUUCCACGUGUAGCGGUGAAAUGCGUAAGAUGUGGAGGAACACCAGUGGCUAAGGCAACUCUUCUUGUCUGUAAUCUGACCGCUUAGGAACGAAAGCGUUGGGAGCGAACAGAUUAAUAUACCCUUGUUUUUCCACCCUUUAAAAUUAUAUGUCUAUUUUUGGGGUUCCCCCCCUUUUGUGCUNUAACACAUAUAACCCCCCCUGGGGGAGNUUCGGUCAAGAUAUAAAUCUCAAAGAUGUNUGGGGGCCCAAAGGGUAAUUUUUUAUUAUCAAACUAACAAAAACUACNCGUUUUCAUCUCAAAUCCUAAAUAUUNCUCUGGGAGGAAGGUUUAGUUUUUUCAUUUUAANUGUAUAUCCAACAUCUCUCUCAUAUACUUNUAUAGG